UACGUAGGCAGCAAGCGUUGUUCGGAGUUACUGGGCGUAAAGAGUGCGUAGGUGGUGCCCUAAGUCUGUUGUGAAAUCUCCCGGCUUAACUGGGAGGGUGCGGUGGAAACUGGGGUGCUUGAGUGUGGGAGAGGUAAGCGGAAUUCCUGGUGUAGCGGUGAAAUGCGUAGAUAUCAGGAGGAACACCGGUGGUGUAGACGGCUUACUGGGUCUUUUCUGACGCUGAGGCACGAAAGCCAGGGGAGCGAACGGGG
rnacentral:rRNA from 1 species